rnacentral:rRNA from 1 species
UAGGGAAUCUUCCGCAAUGGACGCAAGUCUGACGGAGCAACGCCGCGUGAGUGAAGAAGGAUUUCGGUUCGUAAAACUCUGUUGUUAGAGAAGAACAGCGCAUAGAGUAACUGUUAUGCGUGUGACGGUAUCUAACCAGAAAGCCACGGCUAACUACGUGCCAGCAGCCGCGGUAAUACGUAGGUGGCAAGCGUUGUCCGGAUUUAUUGGGCGUAAAGCGAGCGCAGGCGGUCAAUUAAGUCUGAUGUGAAAGCCCCCGGCUCAACCGGGGAGGGUCAUUGGAAACUGGUUGACUUGAGUGCAGAAGAGGAGAGUGGAAUUCCAUGUGUAGCGGUGAAAUGCGUAGAUAUAUGGAGGAACACCAGUGGCGAAGGCGACUAUCUGGUCUGUUACUGACGCUGAGGUUCGAAAGCGUGGGUAGCAAACAGG